rnacentral:rRNA from 1 species
UGGGGAAUAUUGGACAAUGGGCGAAAGCCUGAUCCAGCCAUGCCGCGUGUGUGAAGAAGGCCCUCGGGUUGUAAAGCACUUUCAGCGGGGAAGAAAGCCUUGGGAUUAAUACUCCCGAGGAAGGACAUCACCCACAGAAGAAGCACCGGCUAACUCCGUGCCAGCAGCCGCGGUAAUACGGAGGGUGCGAGCGUUAAUCGGAAUUACUGGGCGUAAAGCGCGCGUAGGCGGUCUGAUAAGCCGGUUGUGAAAGCCCCGGGCUCAACCUGGGAACGGCAUCCGGAACUGUCAGGCUAGAGUGCAGGAGAGGAAGGUAGAAUUCCCGGUGUAGCGGUGAAAUGCGUAGAGAUCGGGAGGAAUACCAGUGGCGAAGGCGGCCUUCUGGACUGACACUGACGCUGAGGUGCGAAAGCGUGGGUAGCAAACA